rnacentral:rRNA from 1 species
GACGAACGCUGGCGGCGUGCUUAACACAUGCAAGUCGAGCGAGAGAAAUUCCUUCGGGAAGGACUCUAGCGGCGGACGGGUGAGUAACACGUGGGUAACCUGCCUCAUAGAGGGGAAUAGCCUUCCGAAAGGAAGAUUAAUACCGCAUAAGAUUGUAAUGCCGCAUGGUAUAGCAAUUAAAGGAGUAAUCCGCUAUGAGAUGGACCCGCGUCGCAUUAGCUAGUUGGUGAGGUAACGGCUCACCAAGGCAACGAUGCGUAGCCGACCUGAGAGGGUGAUCGGCCACAUUGGGACUGAGACACGGCCCAGACUCCUACGGGAGGCAGCAGUGGGGAAUAUUGCACAAUGGGGGAAACCCUGAUGCAGCAACGCCGCGUGAGUGAUGACGGUCUUCGGAUUGUAAAGCUCUGUCUUCAGGGACGAUAAUGACGGUACCUGAGGAGGAAGCCACGGCUAACUACGUGCCAGCAGCAGCCGCGGUAA